rnacentral:rRNA from 1 species
GCAGCAGCCACGGGAAUACGGAGGGGGCUAGCGUUGUUCGGAAUUACUGGGCGUAAAGCGCACGUAGGCGGCUUGGUAAGUUAGAGGUGAAAGCCCGGAGCUCAACUCCGGAAUUGCCUUUAAGACUGCCGAGCUAGCAGGUGAGAGAGGUAAGUGGAAUUCCGAGUGUAGAGGUGAAAUUCGUAGAUAUUCGGAAGAACACCAGUGGCGAAGGCGGCUUACUGGCUCAUACUGGACGCUGAGGUACGAAAGCAUGGGGAGCAAACAGGAUUAGAUACCCCUGUAGUCCCUGUCUCUUAUAA